UGCGUGUCACGAGGCGGGUCGCUGCGCAGCGCCGAGAGACAGAAGUGUAAAGAUGCAGUACUGAUUCUUGCCCAGGGACACCAAAACCCCCAGCACCAGCUCUGAGAAAAGUGCUCAACUGAAUUUCAUGAUAGACAUUGAACUAAAGCACUGGAUAGGAGACCAGGAGGAAACCAGAGCACCAAGAGGAAACCCAC